rnacentral:misc_RNA from 1 species
AAGUCGUAACAAGGUUUCCGUAGGUGAACCUGCGGAAGGAUCAUUACCGAGUUCGGGGUUUCCCCAACUCCCACCCUUGUUUACCAGACGUUGCUUCGGCGAGACGUUGGAAGCAGCCAUCGGCAAUUCAUCAAAGAUGCGCCGAUGCGUGCUCGCCGGACUCCAAAUACUCUUAGACUAUGUACAGUCGGAUGAAACAAGCAAUAUAUAAAAACUUUCAACAACGGAUCUCUUGGUUUUG